GAUCCUGGCUCAGAGCGAACGCUGGCGGCAGGCCUAACACAUGCAAGUCGAACGGACCCUUCGGGGUUAGUGGCGGACGGGUGAGUAACACGUGGGAACGUGCCUUUAGGUUCGGAAUAGCUCCUGGAAACGGGUGGUAAUGCCGAAUGUGCNCUUCGGGGGAAAGAUUUAUCGCCUUUAGAGCGGCCCGCGUCUGAUUAGCUAGUUGGUGAGGUAACGGCUCACCAAGGCGACGAUCAGUAGCU
rnacentral:rRNA from 1 species